rnacentral:sRNA from 1 species
CCGGUCCGCCUCGUGGACGCCGCUGCCCAUCCAAGCCCACUCCCGGUUACUCUGACGCCGUGCUCUUCCCCGGCCCGAACCGGGGAAGCCGCAUAGCCGACAGCCGUCGCACCUAGGGAGCCCCUUCAUG